UACGUAGGGUGCGAGCGUUGUCCGGAAUUAUUGGGCGUAAAGAGCUCGUAGGCGGCCAUCUAAGUCGGACGUGAAAUCCCUCGGCUUAACCGAGGAACUGCGUCCGAUACUGGAAGGCUUGAAUCCGGGAGAGGGAUGUGGAAUUCCAGGUGUAGCGGUGAAAUGCGUAGAUAUCUGGAGGAACACCGGUGGCGAAGGCGGCAUCCUGGACCGGCAUUGACGCUGAGGCGCGAAAGCUAGGGGAGCAAACGGG
rnacentral:rRNA from 1 species